CCUACGGGAGGCAGCAGUGGGGAAUAUUGCACAAUGGGGGAAACCCUGAUGCAGCGACGUCGCGUGAGUGAAGAAGUACUUCGGUACGUAAAGCUCUAUCAGCAGGGAAGAAAAUGACGGUACCUGUCUUAGAAGCCCCGGCUAACUACGUGCCAGCAGCCGCGGUAAUACGUAGGGGGCAAGCGUUAUCCGGAUUUACUGGGUGUAAAGGGAGCGUAGACGGCAUCUCAAGUCUGGAGUGAAAUCCCAUGGCUUAACCAUGGAACUGCUUUGGAAACUGUGCAGCUAGAGUCCAGGUGAGGUAGGCGGAAUUCCUAGUGUAGCGGUGAAAUGCUUAGAUAUUAGGAGGAACACCGAUGGCGAAGGCGGCUUACUGGACUGUAACUGACGUUGAGGCUCGAAAGCGUGGGGAGCAAACAGGAUUAGAUACCCCUGUAGUC
rnacentral:rRNA from 1 species